ACUAUUUCAGGGACUUCUUGGAACAGUCGGAUGCCGGUUUGUCAAGAUUGAAUGUAGAAGAAUUUCAAGAUUUACCAAAGCAGCAGAACAGUAAUGAUUGCGGUGUGUUCAUGUGUCAGUUUGGGGUGUGCAGGGCUUUUAAAAAGCAUGUUAAUUUCACACAGGAGCAUAUUCAACAAUACAGAAAUGCCAUGUUGGUGGAGUGUAUGGCUGGGAGGUUGAUGCCUCGCUUCUGAAAAUAAAUCAGCUACAUGACAGGGAAAAAAAAUCAUGAUUGAAAACUGCUUAUUUGUACCCGAAACAAACAAACAAAUUAAAGUUUUCUAUCUGUUUGAUAUUUAAGCAUUACUUAUAACAUGCAGUAAUAUUUUCUGUUUGUUAUCAGUUUGAACUAUAUUUCCAUUAUUUUUAAAUUAUGUCAUUUGGUAAUUGUUUUUAAAAAUUUGAUCGGUGGUAAUCCAUUUUUAUGAGAUAAAAAAAAUCUCACUUAUCCAGAAAUAAUUUUAUUGUGAAAUAAGAAAUACAAUGUACUAUACAAAAUCAUUUGCAUUAGGUAUUUGUCCAGUUCUUUUAGAGCAGUUCAUGUUUGGCAUUGGCCCCACGAGUGUUCAUUAACCCAGAGAUUGCAGUGUAAUUUUGCUACCUUGUGUCAACUGUGUCGAUGUUUAUCAAACGGUCUUUUUUGUAUUAUAAUGAGUAAUAAAUAGAGACAACAAAAUGUGUGCUUAUUGUAGUGUCAUCUUUACUGAAAGGUCCAGUCAUCUUGACAUUAGACACUUUAUCCCCUAAUUCCUUUUCUGCCAGGCACUACAAAGUUGUGUGUACAAUAUCCCAUAUAAGUCCCUUACUGGUUUAGCCAGAGGGAACUUUGGGUUUUCCCUCUGUCCGUCUGUCUGUCUGUCUGCCUUCCAUCCACAAAACUGGAUCCC